GACGAACGCUGGCGGCGUGCUUAACACAUGCAAGUCGAACGGAAACGCCCUACUUGUGUGCGGUGCCCGGGGGGCAAACGGGGGCGUAACACGUGAGCAACCUACCCUUCUCUUUCGGGUAACUUCAGGAAACGGGGCCUAAUAUCGUAUAGGAUCUCCUCUUCCAUGGAGAGGGUUGGAAAUUUUCAGCGGGCGGGGCUGGACUCGCGGCUUAUGGGCUUGCUGGUUGGGUAGUGGCUUACCGAGGCUGUGACGGGUAGCCGGCCUGAGAGGGUGAACGGCGACAAUGGGACUGAGAUACGGACCAGUGUCCUAUGGUAGGCAGCAGGGGGGAAUAUUGCACAAUGGGAGGAAGUCUGAUGCAGAGACGCCGCGUGCGUGAUGACGGCUUUCGGGUUGUGAACAGCUUUAGCCUGAGACGCAGCGGGAGUGACGGUAAUGGGUAAAGAAGCACCGGCUAACUACGUG
rnacentral:rRNA from 1 species